rnacentral:lncRNA from 1 species
CAAUUUUACGCAUUCCGCGUAAGCUCUCGCUCCCGUCUUAAGAUUUUCGGGACUAGUACAAAGAAUUAAAAAAAUGUCCAACCCUCGCAUACAGAAUAGUUUCAUGAGAAAUGCGAUGUUCAUACUAAAUCACAAUAAAACUAUCAAAACGCUGCAUUUGCCAUUGAGACCUCAAUAAGCUCAGAAAGAAAUAAAAACGCCACACAUAUUAAAUGUUCACGUGCAAGGCGGAGGAGGCUGCUGUUGCGGAGAGGGAAGGGGCGCUGCCGCAGCGGCUGCAACUGCGGCAGCAGCAGCAUAGGACGACGGGUCUGAGGGAUCGAGAAGCGGUGGUGGCGGCGGUAGGCCGCUGCCACCGCCGCCGCCUCUUCCUCUACCUCGGCCUCUUCCACGACCCCGGCCCCGGCCCCUCCCCCUUCCGCGUCAACUCCGCCUCUCCGGCAUCCCUAUGUUGCUCGUUGUCUUUUCCAGGAAGGCCAGAGGCCCUUGCAGAGCGCUAUUGCCCAUACCGCCAACCGGGAACCCAGCGGCUCUGCCACCAGCUACACCCUGCGCCAUGAACAUGCCCUGUUGACUGACUGGUACACCGACUCCUUGAAGACCGGACGUCGGAGGACCACCGGAACCCUGCUGCACCUGCAAAGUUGACAUCAAGUGAGGAUGUACUAACAGGGAAUGCCUGAAAAGAAUAUGCUUCCCUCAUGAUAUAUGUAUGUGACACAACAUCAAGAAUGCAGUGGAAAGAUAUAGAGCACAGCCAUAUAAUGACCUUAAGUUUGCAUUUAACAUCUAUCCUAUACCGUAAUGUAAAAAAAAAAUAAUAUUACUCUAUGUUAUUUUUUUGUUAUUAUGCGAGAGAUAACUACCCAAAAAUAUAGAUUCUACACGCAGCAUGCAUAUAUGUUCAAAGAUGGGACACGCGCGAAUAACGAGAGAAAUCCGUUGGAUCUGUCGGGAGUGACGAUAAGAAUAGGCAAGGGAAAUGAAAGAAAGCACAAUGGUUGUUUGUUUGCGAUGAACAGAGAUAUUUAUUCUGCCGCAACAUCUCUAUUUGCGUGUAAGAACAACAUAAGUGAAACGGUAUUUUUUUCGGAUUGCAACAGUUAAUAUUUCUCUUAUAUCUCUGUGGAUAGAAUUCUUAUAAGGCACUGUUAUACGCAUUAUUAUUGUCCCUUAUCUGAUGGGACCUUAAUUAUCUAAUCUUCUAUUUCAUUUACUGUCUGGAAAAAAAAAUAGCAAAACAUUCUCUAGCUUUCUAAUACACAUUCUCGUGCGUACACACGCGCAUGUGCAGGCAAUUACUCAUCUAUGACCAAAUGUAAUGAAUAACAGGAAAAAAACGUUGCAACAAUAAAUAUAUACUAUAGUAAAAAAAUAGCAAAAGGACACGAUUACGCGGAGAAAACAAUGGUAUUUUAUAUAUAUGCAUGAUAUAAGAAUAGACCUAACAUUAAAAUAUCAAGAUAAAUGUAUUAUAUGAACAAUUAAUUUAUAUUUGAAGCAAUAAGAUUAACGCUCGAAAAAAAUCGCUCUUGAUAAACUUACAAAAGAUGAGAAACUUCUUGAGCUAUUAUAGAAGAUUUAAUCUUUUCAUUCAAUAUUUUAUCAAUUAUGCCAAUUUACUCUCCCCUAUCUUAUAUGGUAACAUUUUCUUCGUUUUUUUAUCUUUUACUUUAUCUAAUUCGAAAAAUGCGUAUACUUUAAGUACCUUAGGUACCAAAUUUCUCAACAAUCUGC